AUGUUGAAUUCACUAGGAUCUUCCAUGUUUAAGUCACCAGGAUCUCCACCAGGUGUUGUGCCGUGCUGGACGAUCUGGAGCUGGAUUUGCUGCUCGGGCUGGGGCUGGAGCUGGCGUCACUUGCCUCUGCCAGGAGCUGCAACUGCCUCUUCCUUGAGCUGCUUCUGGCUUUGCCUGGACCUGCUGCUGGCUGGAGUUGCGCCUGCUGAUGGCGGAGGAGGGAAGCGGAGGAUCUGCUGGAGGAGGAGGGAGGCGGAGCUGCUGGAUCUGGACAGAGGGCUGAGGAGGAGGAGGGAGGUGGAGGAUCUGGGCAGAGGGUGGAGGAAGAGGGAGGCGGAGCUGCUGGAUCUGGACAGAGGGCUGAGGAGGAGGGAGGUGGAGGAUCUGGGCAGAGGAUGGAGGAGGAGGGAGGCGGAGCUUCUGGAUCCGGGAGGAAGACGGCUGGAGGUAGAGGAAGGAGGCGGAAUUCAAAUUGAGGGGGUAACCUGGUCUUUUUCACGGUUUUCGCCUGGUCGGAGAAUUUCUGCAGCGACUGAUUGCAUUCUUAUGCUUCCAGGUUUAUAUUAG
rnacentral:rRNA from 1 species